rnacentral:rRNA from 1 species
GCAUAUCAAUAAGCGGAGGAAAAGAAACCAACAGGGAUUGCCCUAGUAACGGCGAGUGAAGCGGCAAUAGCUCAAAUUUGAAAGCUGGCUUAUGGCCCGCAUUGUAAUUUGUAGAGGAUGCUUUUAGGCAGCCGCCGGUCUAAGUUCCUUGGAACAGGACGUCAUAGAGGGUGAGAAUCCCGUAUGUGACCGGCUCUGGCACCUUAUGUAAAGCUCCUUCGACGAGUCGAGUUGUUUGGGAAUGCAGCUCUAAAUGGGAGGUAAAUUUCUUCUAAAGCUAAAUACUGGCGAGAGACCGAUAGCGCACAAGUAGAGUGAUCGAAAGAUGAAAAGCACUUUGGAAAGAGAGUUAAAAAGCACGUGAAAUUGUUGAAAGGGAAGCGCUUGCAAUCAGACUUGGACUUGGCUGUUCAACAGGUCUUCUGACCUGCCUAUUCAGUCUUGUCCAGGCCAGCAUCAGUUUCGGCGGCCGGAUAAAGGCCCUAGGAAUGUGGCUUUCCCUUCGGGGGAAGUGUUAUAGCCUAGGGUGUAAUACGGCCAGCUGGGACUGAGGUCCGCGCUUCGGCUAGGAUGCUGGCGUAAUGGUUGUAAGCGGCCCGUCUUGAAACACGGACCAAGGAGUCUAACAUCUAUGCGAGUGUUAGGGUGUCAAACCCUUACGCGUAAUGAAAGUGAACGGAGGUGAGAACCCGCAAGGGUGCAUCAUCGACCGAUCCUGAUGUCUUCGGAUGGAUUUGAGUAAGAGCAUAGCUGUUGGGACCCGAAAGAUGGUGAACUAUGCCUGAAUAGGGUGAAGCCAGAGGAAACUCUGGUGGAGGCUCGCAGCGGUUCUGACGUGCAAAUCGAUCGUCAAAUUUGGGUAUAGGGGCGAAAGACUAAUCGAAACCAUCUAGUAGCUGGUUCCUGGCGAG